rnacentral:rRNA from 1 species
GACGAACGCUGGCGGCGUGCUUAACACAUGCAAGUCGAACGGAAAGGCCCUGCUUUUGUGGGGUGCUCGAGUGGCGAACGGGUGAGUAACACGUGAGUAACCUGCCCUUGACUUUGGGAUAACUUUAGGAAACUGGGGCUAAUACCGGAUAGGAGCUCCUGCUGCAUGGUGGGGGUUGGAAAGUUUCGGCGGUUGGGGAUGGACUCGCGGCUUAUCAGCUGGUUGGUGGGGUAGUGGCUUACCAAGGCUUUGACGGGUAGCCGGCCUGAGAGGGUUACCGGCCACAUGGGGACUGAGAUACGGCCCAGACUCCUACGGGAGGCAGCAGUGGAGAAUAUUGCACAAUGGGGGGAAGCCUGAGGCAGCAACGCCGCGUGCGGGAUGACGGCCUUCGGGUUGUAAACCGCUUUCGCCUGUGACGAAGCGUGAGUGACGGUAAUGAGUAAAGAAGCACCGGCUAACUACGUG